UACGAAGGGGGCUAGCGUUGCUCGGAAUCACUGGGCGUAAAGCGCACGUAGGCGGAUUGUUAAGUCAGGGGUGAAAUCCUGGAGCUCAACUCCAGAACUGCCCUUGAUACUGGAAGUCUUGAGUAUGGGAGAGGUGAGUGGAACUGCGAGUGCAGAGGUGAAAUUCGUAGAUAUUCGCAAGAACACCAGUGGCGAAGGCGGCUCACUGGCCCAUAACUGACGCUGAGGCACGAAAGCGUGGGGAGCAAACAGG
rnacentral:rRNA from 1 species